rnacentral:rRNA from 1 species
UACGUAGGGUGCGAGCGUUGUCCGGAAUUAUUGGGCGUAAAGGGCUCGUAGGCGGUCUGUCACGUCGGGAGUGAAAACUCAGGGCUUAACCCUGAGCCUGCUUCCGAUACGGGCAGACUAGAGGUAUGCAGGGGAGAACGGAAUUCCUGGUGUAGCGGUGAAAUGCGCAGAUAUCAGGAGGAACACCGGUGGCGAAGGCGGUUCUCUGGGCAUUACCUGACGCUGAGGAGCGAAAGUGUGGGGAGCGAACCGG